GACGAACGCUGGCGGCGUGCUUAACACAUGCAAGUCGAACGGAAAGGCCCUGCUUUUGUGGGGUGCUCGAGUGGCGAACGGGUGAGUAACACGUGAGUAACCUGCCCUUGACUUUGGGAUAACUUCAGGGAACUGGGGCUAAUACCGGAUAGGAGCUCCUGCUGCAUGGUGGGGGUUGGAAAGUUUCGGCGGUUGGGGAUGGACUCGCGGCUUAUCAGCUUGUUGGUGGGGUAGUGGCUUACCAAGGCUUUGACGGGUAGCCGGCCUGAGAGGGUGACCGGCCACAUUGGGACUGAGAGACGGCCCAGACUCCUACGGGAGGCAGCAGUGGGGAAUAUUGCACAAUGGGCGGAAGCCUGAUGCAGCAACGCCGCGUGCGGGAUGACGGCCUUCGGGUUGUAAACCGCUUUCGCCUGUGACGAAGCGUGAGUGACGGUAAUGGGUAAAGAAGCACCGGCUAACUACGUG
rnacentral:rRNA from 1 species